rnacentral:rRNA from 1 species
CUACGGGUUGCUCCAGUCGAGAAUCUUCCGCAAUGGACGAAAGUCUGACGGAGCGACGCCGCGUGCGGGAUGAAGGCCUUCGGGUUGUAAACCGCUGUCAGUGGGGAGGAAAUGCAUCAGGGUUCUCCCUGGUGUUUGACCGAUCCGCAGAGGAAGCGCAGGCUAAGUUCGUGCUAGCAGCCGCGGUAACACGAACUGCGCGAACGUUAUUCGGAAUCACUGGGCUUAAAGAGUUCGUAGGCGGCCUUUCAAGUCGGGUGUGAAAUCCCUCGGCUCAACCGAGGAAUUGCGCCUGAUACUGUUGGGCUUGAUGGGGAUAGGGGUGAGCGGAACUGAUGGUGGAGCGGUGAAAUGCGUUGAUAUCAUCAGGAACGCCGGUGGCGAAGGCGGCUCACUGGAUCUCUUCUGACGCUGAGGAACGAAAGCUAGGGGAGCGAACGGGAUUAGAUACCCCGGUAGUC